rnacentral:rRNA from 1 species
CUACGGGACGCACCAGUGGGGAAUAUUGCACAAUGGGCGCAAGCCUGAUGCAGCCAUGCCGCGUGUAUGAAGAAGGCCUUCGGGUUGUAAAGUACUUUCAGCGGGGAGGAAGGGAGUAAAGUUAAUACCUUUGCUCAUUGACGUUACCCGCAGAGGAAGCACCGGCUAACUCCGUGCCAGCAGCCGCGGUAAUACGGAGGGUGCAAGCGUUAAUCGGAAUUACUGGGCGUAAAGCGCACGCAGGCGGUUUGUUAAGUCAGAUGUGAAAUCCCCGGGCUCAACCGGGGAACUGCAUCUGAUACUGGCAAGCUUGAGUCUCGUAGAGGGGGGUAGAAUUCCAGGUGUAGCGGUGAAAUGCGUAGAGAUCUGGAGGAAUACCGGUGGCGAAGGCGGCCCCCUGGACGAAGACUGACGCUCAGGUGCGAAAGCGUGGGGAGCAAACAGGAUUAGAUACCCUCGUAGUC